rnacentral:rRNA from 1 species
UACGAAGGGGGCUAGCGUUGCUCGGAAUCACUGGGCGUAAAGCGCACGUAGGCGGACUCUUAAGUCGGUGGUGAAAUCCUGGAGCUCAACUCCAGAACUGCCUUGAUACUGGCGACCUUGAGUCCGGGAGAGGUGAGUGGAACUGCGAGUGUAGAGGUGAAAUUCGUAGAUAUUCGAGGAACACCAGUGGCGAAGGCGGCUCACUGGCCGUACUGACGCUGAGGUGCGAAAGCGUGGGAG